UUCUUGUGCAAAAUGUUUCAGCUCUGGUGACUGGAAGCCAUUUCAAUUGGCUACCAUGUCAGUUUGACAUACUUCUGUAAUUGUGUUUUGUUUUUAUCUAUUUUAUUUUACAUACUUAUUUUUAGUACCUCCUAUUUCCUGGUGAUGCAAGAGUCUUCCAUAUGCCCAUCUUCUUCUCUCUUUCAAUACUUGCUUGCUCAGUCCACAAAUUAGCCAUUUUUCUAAGGAGUCUGGUCCUUUUUAUUAGAGAACGAAAUUAGAAUACAAGAUCUGGGAUCUGCACCUACUUGCUGGUACUGAAGUGGUGUUGUUUCUAGUCCCUCUGGGCUGUCACCAUGAAGAUACAUGCAUGUACACCAACGCAUACAUGUACACACAUCUAAAACAUCGCUACAUACAACCAUUCAUAUCUGUAGCAAGCUAAGCAUGAGUUCAUACUUGUGUCCAGCUCUAGUCAUUUACCACAUGGGUUAUUCUCCCCUUUCUUGUCUAGAACCUCCUACUCUAUCUGUGAGAAAUCUGGCGCUUACCCUCUACCAUUUAUUGGUUAUUUCUUCAAUUUAGUGUCUACAUAGAUAGCAUUAUCAGAAUUGUGAACCCAUUCCCCUGUCAUCACCUGAAGUAAAGCGCUCUGUACAGUUUAUGUUGCCUUUAGUGUGAGAGACUCCACCCAUUCCCAAAGUUACAUAGACUGGUUUCUUUUCAUACACUCUUUUCAAUGGGUUUGUUUCAUACAUUUGUAAUACCUUUAGAUUGUUUUGUCACAUUCUGCAUUUUAUGGUGCAAUUCCAUCAGAAAGUACAUAAUUCUUUUUUAAUUUGCAUGUACUAUGAUUCAUUUUUUUUUGCUAUAAAGUUCUAUGGGGUUUGGCUAAUGGAAAGUAUAUAAAUGAUUACAGUGUCAUACAGAAUAAAAAAACAAUUCUUCCUUUGCUGCUUCUAUUCCACUCUUCUCCUUUCUCUGAACUCCUUGAACCCAAUGAUUAUUUUGCUGUUGUUGUUGUAUGAAUCUCUGGUUUGGCUUUAUCCAGAUGUUGUAUAAUUGAAAUGUUUUAGCCUCAUGUGAAAUUAUGAAACAAUUGUGGCUGUAGUAUUCUGAAUUUCCACCAGCAACGAAUGAAUGAGUGUACUAACUGGCUAUACAAACCACAGUGGCUGUACUAUUUUCAUUUCUACCGGCAAUGAGUGAAUGAGAGUUCUUCCUUCACAUUCUCAUCAGUAAUUGGUGUUUUGGUGUUUUCAUUCCCCUACCCCUGUCUUUCUUAAUUUAGCUACCCUAAUAAGGUAUAUAACCGUAAUUUAUUGCUGUUUUAACAUGCAUUCCAUGAAUUAGACUAAGGAUACACUAUAAGUAUUUUUUUCAAAUGUUUAUUUGCAAUCAGUAUAGAUAUAUAUAACUUUUUCCCUGGGGUUCAGAGAUUUUGCCCAAUUUUUUGUUUUUUGAGGUGGUGUCUCGCUCUGUCACCCAGGCUGAAGUGCAGUGGUGUGAUUUUGGCUCACUGCAACCUUCACCUCCCGGGUUCAAGCAAUUCUCCUGCCUCAUCCUCCCCAGUAGCUGGGAUUACAGGUGCCCACCACCAGGCCCGGCUAUUUUUUGUAUUUUUAGUAGAGACGGGGUUUCACCAUGCCAGCCAGGCUGGUCUCAAAUUCCUGACCUCAGGUGAUCUGCCCGCCUUGGCCUCCCAAAAUGCUGGGAUUACAGGCGUGAGCCACUGUGCCUGGAGGAUUUUGCCCACUUUUUAAUUAGGUUGUUUGUAACUUAUAGUUGAGUUCUAAGAGACUUGAAAAAUAUUUUUAGAUAUAAACUCUUUACAAAUAUACACUUUGCAUAUAUUUUCUUCCAUAUUCACUUAGCAUUGUCUUAAGCAGAGAGGAAAGUUUUGAGUUUAAGUCCUCCUCCUCCUCCUCCUUCCUCUUCCUCUUCCUCUUCUUCUUCUCCUUCUUCUCCUUCUUCUCCUUCUUCUCCUUCUUCUUCUUUUCUUCCCUGGAUAGUUCUUUGUAUUUGGAUCUGAAAACUCAUCAUUGGAGGUGACGUGGAGCAAGACGGCCAAAUAGAACACCCCAGUAAUCAACACCCCCAGCAAAAACUUCAAUUUGAACAACUAUCCACACAAGAAGCACCUUCAUAAGAACCAAAAAUCAGUGACCUGUUGCACAGAGAGAGAAUCCGAGCAGUUGGAGGAAGGGAGAGUGCAGUGAUUGUGGGGAUUUGCAUUGGAAGUCAGUGCUGCCUGUCACAGCAGAAAGAAACGCAAGGCAGAAUCCAGCCAAGACCUACAGAGGGACCACUAAGAUCAGCUCUUGCCAGAGAGGAAUCAUCUGUUCCAACAGUCAGAACCUGAAUUCCAGCAAGCCCCACCACCAUGGGCUAAAGUGCUCUAGGGUUCUAAAGAAACUUGUAAGUCAGUCUAAGCCACAAGGACUGCAAUUCCUGGGUAACUCCUGAUGUUGUGGUUGUCUUGUUGACAGUGGACUUGGGGGGCACAUGACCUAGUAAGACACCAGUUGGGGUGGCUAAGGGAGUGCUUGUGUUACCCCUCCCACAACCCUAGGAAGCACAGCUUGAAGCUCUGCGAGAAACUCCUUCUCUCCACUUGAAGAGAGAAGAAGAAAGAGUAAAUAGGACUUUGUCUUGCAACUUUUAUACCAGUUCAUUGACAGUAGGAUAGGGCAGCAGGCAGAGUCAUGAGGCCCUCAUUUCAGGCCCUAGCUCCUGGAUGAUAUUUCCAGACACACCUUUGGCUGGAAGGGAACCUACUACCCUGAAAGGAAGGAACUAGACCUGGAAGGAUUCAUCACUUGCUGACUAAAGAGUCCUUGGGUCCUGAAUGAUCAGUAGUGACAGCGAAGCAGUACUUACCGUGGGUCUUGGGUGAGACUCAGAGAUGUGCUGGCUUUGGGUGAGAUUCAACAUAUGCCAACCUGUGGUGGCUGUGGAGAAAGACUCCUUCUGCUUGAGGAAAGGAGAGGAAAUAACAAAGGUUAUAUGGUUUGGCAGUGUCCCCACCCAAAUCUCAUCUUGAAUUGUAAAUCCCAUAAUUUCCAAGUGCUGUGGGAGGAACAAGGUGGGAGGUGAUUAAAUUAUUGGGGUGGGUCUUUUCUGUGCUGGUCUUGUGAAAGUGAAUUGGUCUCAUGAGAUCUGAUGAUUUUAAAAAUGGGACUUUUGCUGCACAAGUUCUCUCUUUGCCUGCUGCCAUCCACAUAAGAUGUGACUUGUUCCUCCUGGCCUUCCACUGUAAUUUUGAGGCCUCCCCAGCCAUGUGGAACUGUAAGUCCAAUAAAACUCUUUCUUUUGUAAAUU
ensembl:lncRNA novel transcript